UACAGAGGAGCCAAGCGUUGUUCGGAUUUACUGGGCGUAAAGGGCGCGUAGGCGGCACCGCAAGUCGACUGUGAAAUCUCCGGGCUUAACUCGGAAAGGUCAGCCGAUACUGCGGGGCUAGAGUGCAGAAGGGGCAACUGGAAUUCUCGGUGUAGCGGUGAAAUGCGUAGAUAUCGAGAGGAACACCUGCGGCGAAGGCGGGUUGCUGGGCUGACACUGACGCUGAUGCGCGAAAGCUAGGGGAGCGAACGGG
rnacentral:rRNA from 1 species